CCACCACCGCUCUCCCGUGCCCGGGCAGCGCCGGCCGCUCACCCGCCCGCCCUCACCUGGGCCGCCGCGGGCGCCCCCGAGCAGCAGCGCGGCAGGGAAGACGAGCAGGACGAGCAGGAGCAGCUGCGACAGGCGCCUCAUGAUGGCGGCGGCAACGGCCCGGCACCCAACGCAGCCAGCCCCGGCGGCGGUGGGUGGCGGCCGCUGCGGGAUUGUCUAAAUGGCGGCGAGUGCGGGAGCGGGCGCUGGGACCUCCUCCCGCUCCUCCAUCCGGGGCCGCGCCCGCCCCGCUCCGCCCCCGCGGACGUGGCUCGGCCGGGCAGGAGGCGCGGCGGUCACGUGGGCGCUUAGCACACGUCUGCCCUCAGCCGGCGGCGGCGCGGGCGCCUCCCGAUCCACCCGCGCCGCCCCUCCCACAGGGAAGUGGGCACGGCACCGAGCCUGUAGCAGUUCGGGGAGCCUUUGGACAACGCUCUCAUCCACCUGGUCCUGAUAACAAGAAAGGAAAUUUAACCCGUGAAUCACAUAGCAGCUAACAAUCAAGCUCUGAGUGAUUUCCAUUUGUUAGGAAGACUUACCUGUAGAAUUGCCUUGUUAAGGUGUAGGGCUUGACAUGCUUCGAUGAUCUCAGACCUAGGGGGAGGUUAACAAAGCUUGGGAAGAAGGAUGCACCACUGACAGCGGAUACAAAGAAUGCAGAAUUUACGUGGCACAGGAAUAUUUGGCAAAACUCCCAAGAUAAGGAAGAAACUAAUGAAGACAACUCAGCAGCUGUGCUGAAAUCAGCUCCAACUGGGUAAAAGGUAAUUCCAGCAUGGGGGAGAUCAUGAUGACUGGCUCACGGACCACCGACCCAAGAACCUCACUGACUCAAAAGUAGAGAAAGACCGAGCGUGCGGAUUGAUUAGCAUGAGAAGCGAGGGAGUCAUUAACCAACAGAAGAUAGAAUGCUAAUAAAUAAAGAAACUAUGUAACUUGUAGCCAAUGAACAUUAAUGCCUGUGUUUGCUAAAAUGUAUAAAUAGUGGAAAGUUUUGAUUGUUGGUGUGCUUGACUAGUGGAAUACCACUGAGCACCCAGGCUCGAACAACUCUGAAAUAAAUAAUAAAUGUUUCUCUCAA